GCUUUGGGGAACAGAAACGUUGGUGCGACGCACACUUGAGGACUUCAUCUUCUUUGCCACGGUUAACGUCUUUUUGUUUACCAGCUGAAUUUCUUCUUUUUUUCUGAGUAACAGAAUUUGUUGAUUGUUACUUAAGUUACUUGAUAUCUAAGUAACAUAUUAUAGACUUUGUGGUGUAGAUUUACUGAACGCGCAGUGCUAUGUGCAUUGAGGCCAUGAUGACUGAGAGGAAGAUACAGCGUGGGGACGGUAGUUACCAGUUAAAAUGGUCCAAAUCAAGAAAAAGAAAUCUGGCGUAUACGAGUGUGGUGAAAGCUGCUGUUCAGAAAUACAACGAGCUCUGUGCGAAAAAGCGGACGAUAAGCAGAAAGUCUGUGAGGAAAUCAGCACGUCGGUUGGGCCUGUUUCGAAGCGCGCUGUGGGAGAAGCGACGAGAUACGGGUGGGUUUCCACUGGGAGCCAUGGCGCCCCAUAACACCACGCAGUACCUCAUGGACAUGGCGUACAGAGAUAUGAACGUUACUGAUCAGGCUUUUGACUUAGAUCUGUCUCCAUCUGACUUUUGUAGACAAAGUAACGUUCGUACAGAUGAACAUUUCACCUCUAGCAUGUACUCCUCGUUCUAUACAGAUGAAGAAACGAUGGAUUUCCAGCACCGGGACUUUGAGAGUGUUUUCUUCCUGCACGAGAUUUGACUGUUUGCGUUUCAUCCCUUCUCGCCAUCUUGAAUGGAAACUGAGACCAUAAAUAAUGUCAAUGCGCAGCGAGAGGCUCGGCGUGCUGCGUCACUGACGUGUCGCUGCUCAGGGUGAGCCCCCGCCCACGCCUGCUCAGUCACGUGACAACAGGUAACCCUGUUCCCCCCCCCCCCCCACAGGUGUGUACUUGGUCUGUUUUUAUAGAUCAGUCUGAAGGUGUUGUCAUUUGAAAUGUUUGCUGUAUGAUCUGAUGUGCUGUGCAGUUGUGCAUCUGUGUUCAAGACACUUGCAGGUUGCUGCUCCUGACUGAUGGCUUCCAACCGAACACUGAGCAAGGCAGUCAGAAGGACAUGAGACCGAAAGACUCCUAGUCAUCAGACUUGGGGUAAAAUUUUAUGUGUUGUAAAAUUGCAUCAGGAUAUGAAAAAAAAAAAAAUGUUUAAUGCUCUUGUAAAAAAUUAUUAAGCUUAUUAAACAUUUUUAUGACCUACGUUUGAAUUCCCAGAAUGUGAAUUUAGUAUAAAAAAAGGAAUGACGAGAUUAAAAUAAUUAUUUUUGUAA